rnacentral:rRNA from 2 species
CGCGUGGGGGAGAGGCUCUUGGGUUGUAAACCCCUUUUCUCUGGGAAGAAAGUUGUGAAAGCAACCUGACGGUACCAGAGGAAUCAGCAUCGGCUAACUCCGUGCCAGCAGCCGCGGUAAGACGGAGGAUGCAAGCGUUAUCCGGAAUGAUUGGGCGUAAAGCGUCCGCAGGUGGCAGUUCAAGUCUGCUGUCAAAGACCGGGGCUUAACUUCGGAAAGGCAGUGGAAACUGAACAGCUAGAGUAUGGUAGGGGCAGAGGGAAUUCCUGGUGUAGCGGUGAAAUGCGUAGAGAUCAGGAAGAACAUCGGUGGCGAAGGCGCUCUGCUGGACCAUAACUGACACUCAGGGACGAAAGCUAGGGGAGCGAAUGGGAUUAGAUA